rnacentral:misc_RNA from 1 species
UUAAGUUCAGCGGGUAUUCCUACCCGAUCCGAGGUCAAACUUGUGUUCGGUCAGCGACCGAUGCGAACGCGCAAGGCAGGGCGGUGCGAGCUUCGCGCCAGUAAGUAGUUACGGCACCUGCUGCAGCACUCCCAUUUACUAAUCAAUAGCCGACGCAUUUGGGGUCCGGGAUGGUCCCGGGGCCCAAUACCAAGCCAGGC